AGAGUUUGAUCAUGGCUCAGAUUGAACGCUGGCGGCAUGCCUUACACAUGCAAGUCGGACGGCAGCGCGGGCUUCGGCCUGGCGGCGAGUGGCGAACGGGUGAGUAAUACAUCGGAACGUGUCCUGUAGUGGGGGGAUAGCCCGGCGAAAGCCGGAUUAAUACCGCAUACGAUCUACGGAUGAAAGCGGGGGAUCGCAAGACCUCGCGCUGGAGGGGCGGCCGAUGGCGGAUUAGCUAGUUGGUGGGGUAAAGGCCUACCAAGGCGACGAUCCGUAGCUGGUCUGAGAGGACGACCAGCCACACUGGGACUGAGACACGGCCCAGACUCCUACGGGAGGCAGCAGUGGGGAAUUUUGGACAAUGGGCGCAAGCCUGAUCCAGCAAUGCCGCGUGUGUGAAGAAGGCCUUCGGGUUGUAAAGCACUUUUGUCCGGAAAGAAAUCUUCUGAGCUAAUACCUCGGGAGGAUGACGGUACCGGAAGAAUAAGCACCGGCUAACUACGUGCCAGCAGCCGCGGUAAUACGUAGGGUGCGAGCGUUAAUCGGAAUUACUGGGCGUAAAGCGUGCGCAGGCGGUGAUGUAAGACCGAUGUGAAAUCCCCGGGCUUAACCUGGGAACUGCAUUGGUGACUGCAUCGCUGGAGUAUGGCAGAGGGGGGUGGAAUUCCACGUGUAGCAGUGAAAUGCGUAGAGAUGUGGAGGAACACCGAUGGCGAAGGCAGCCCCCUGGGCCAAUACUGACGCUCAUGCACGAAAGCGUGGGGAGCAAACAGGAUUAGAUACCCUAGUAGUCC
rnacentral:rRNA from 1 species